CGGGCCAGUUGCGCUGCUAUACAUGCAGUCGAGCGAACGGACGAGAAGCUUGCUUCUCUGAUGUUAGCGGCGGACGGGUGAGUAACACGUGGAUAACCUACCUAUAAGACUGGGAUAACUUCGGGAAACCGGAGCUAAUACCGGAUAAUAUUUUGAACCGCAUGGUUCAAAAGUGAAAGACGGUCUUGCUGUCACUUAUAGAUGGAUCCGCGCUGCAUUAGCUAGUUGGUAAGGUAACGGCUUACCAAGGCAACGAUGCAUAGCCGACCUGAGAGGGUGAUCGGCCACACUGGAACUGAGACACGGUCCAGACUCCUACGGGAGGCAGCAGUAGGGAAUCUUCCGCAAUGGGCGAAAGCCUGACGGAGCAACGCCGCGUGAGUGAUGAAGGUCUUCGGAUCGUAAAACUCUGUUAUUAGGGAAGAACAUAUGUGUAAGUAACUGUGCACAUCUUGACGGUACCUAAUCAGAAAGCCACGGCUAACUACGUGCCAGCACCCGCGGUAAUACGUAGGUGGCAAGCGUUAUCCGGAAUUAUUGGGCGUAAAGCGCGCGUAGGCGGUUUUCUAAGCCUGAUGUGAAAGCCACGGCUCAACCGUGUAGGGUUUUGGCAACUGGAACUCACGCUCCCAUGUAGGA
rnacentral:rRNA from 1 species